UGGGACCUACGGGGCGCAGCAGUGGGGGAUAUUGGACAAUGGGGGGAACCCUGAUCCAGCGACGCCGCGUGAGUGAAGAAGUAUUUCGGUAUGUAAAGCUCUGUCAGCAGGGAAGAAAGAAAUGACGGUACCUGACCAAGAAGCCCCGGCUAACUACGUGCCAGCAGCCGCGGUAAUAAGUAGGGGGCAAGCGUUAUCCGGAAUUACUGGGUGUAAAGGGAGCGUAGACGGUUAAGUAAGUCUGGAGUGAAAGGCAGGUGCCCAACCCCGGGACUGCUCUGGAAACUAUCUAACUUGAGUGCAGG
rnacentral:rRNA from 1 species